UACGUAGGGGGCGAGCGUUGUCCGGAAUUACUGGGCGUAAAGGGCGCCUAGGCGGUUUUUUAAGUCCGCUGUGAAAGACCGAGGCUCAACCUCGGGAUGUCAGCGGAGACUGGAAGACUGGAGUGUCGGAGAGGAGUGCGGAAUUCCUGGUGUAGCGGUGGAAUGCGUAGAUAUCAGGAGGAACACCGAUGGCGAAGGCAGCACUCUGGCCGAAGACUGACGCUGAAGCGCGAAAGCUGGGGGAGCGAACAGG
rnacentral:rRNA from 1 species